rnacentral:rRNA from 1 species
CCUACGGGGGGCAGCAGUGAGGAAUAUUGGUCAAUGGGCGAGAGCCUGAACCAGCCAAGUCGCGUGAAGGAUGGCGGCCCUACGGGUUGUAAACUUCUUUUGUCAGGGAGCAAUUGAGUCCACGUGUGGGCUUAGCGAGAGUACCUGAAGAAAAAGCAUCGGCUAACUCCGUGCCAGCAGCCGCGGUAAUACGGAGGAUGCGAGCGUUGUCCGGAAUUACUGGGUGUAAAGGGAGCGCAGGCGGGAAGCCAAGUCAGCUG